GGUUUUGGUACAAGUUUUGUAUCAUUUGGGAUUUUUAUGAAGAAGUUAUAGGCACUCAAAGUUAAGGUGUUAGUUUUGGACCUACUGUCACUUUUGCGGCUAUACUUUUCAUAAACUGUUUACUGGAUUAUAAGUUAAAGUGAAGGAGUUAUUGGAUUUUGAAGUCAGCACUUGGAAUCUAACGGUAGUAAGUACCCCGAUUUACUUGUACUUGUGAUUUGAGCUAAAUCUUAGACAAUUUGAUGAAGUUUUGGCUCAAAAUUUUCAAGAUUGUGUAUAAUCUUGUUAUAAAGCUUUCUACAUGAGUUUUGUGGAAUUUAGAGUUUGGAUUUUUGAGAUAUAAGGAAAAUAGUUUUUUGGGUGCUUGUAAAUUAGGGUUUAGAGUGCCUAGUAGGAUUUCUUAGAUGCUAGAAGAUCGGGAGUGAAUUUAUAGUUGAUUUUUUUGUGAUAAAAUUUAAGGGUGAAUUC
rnacentral:lncRNA from 1 species